GGCAGACACCACACACAAACCAGCAAGAGCAGGUCAAUCCAGAAGAAACUGCAAAGCUUGCCAACUGGCCCGAGGCCUUGGAAGUGGCAAGAAUCCGCAGUAACCUCCUGAGAAGUUCUUUGGUGGAGAAGUUCUCUCUAUGGAGUCACCACAAGCGGAGCUCAGCAAUGCAGUGCAAGGUGAACCAAUACAUGGCUGUUGUAGCAAAGAAUAGCAAGGAAGAGCAAAGCAGACUAAUGCUUGAGCUCCCAUUGUCUAUGAGGUCAUUUAUAUUCCUCCUGAACAUCAUCUUUUCAUGUGGUUGCUAUAGCAAAACAUCCUUUUACCUGUGUCUGCUUCAGGAAAACAUUCUUUCAAGUGUCUGCUUUAGCAAAACAUCCUUCCACUUGUGUGCCCCAGCCAACCAUAAUUUGACAUAACUGACUUUCCAGAGAAAUGAGAAGUUUCCACUUCACCCAUGAUCUAAUUAGUGCUUCCCAUGUAAAUAUGGAUGCAGGGGUGGAGAGAGGGCAUUCACUGGAGCAUGGACCUCCUGUUUAGCUUAUUAUUACAGCCUGGUCCCACUUCCCUGGUGGUGGUACUGUACACAACUGCAGAGUUUCUCUGGAAGUGUUUCUUUAAGCUCAGCCUAAAGGGUCCAGGCUUGUUAAAACAGGAUAGUGAAAAACAACAGACAGUGAAAAGCUUGCUAGUGGCCAGAGAUUAUUUGUAAAAAAAAAAUUACUUACUUAUUUUAUGUAUGUGAGUACACUGUAGCUGUCUUCAGACACACCAGAAGAGGGCGUCAGAUUCCGUUACAGAUGGGUGUGAGCCACCAUGUGGUUGCUGAGAAAUGAACUCAGGACCUCCGGAAGAACAGCCAGUGUUCUUAAUCUCUGAGCCAUCUCUCUAGCCCCAGAAGACCCAAUUUUAAAAAGCAAAUUUUUGUUGUUGUUAUUUUGCUUUAAAGAGUUUUUUAGUCAGGUAGUGCCUAUAAAAGUUUUAAACUUCUUUAAAAAUGAAAUGAAAUGUCUCAACUUGUCAUAGAGCCAUCCUAUCUUGUUCCAGCCUGUUUGCCCUCAUCCUUGCGUUCUCCUUCCUUCUUAGCUGUACAGAAUCACUAACACUUUUAUUCUGCUCUCUUUUUAAAAAUAAAAUAUAAAGUAUUUUGUAAUUAUAUCUUAACUGGCAAGUGAAAUUUUACAUAAUUAUACAUGAAUUUUUAUUUUGUGCAUUGUAAAUUUUCAAUUGACUAAGAUAAAAAGAAGAAAAAAAGCCACAUAGUACAAGCAUAUAUAGGAACCUAUGUAUUUCUUAUUUUUAUAAUUAAUUUCACAGUGAAUGAAUCCUUGUUUUUCUUAUCUUUUUGUUGUUAAAAUAUUUUACAUUAAUUUCUGAACUUAAUGACUUUUUGGGGAUGGUUUUACUUUUAUUUAUGAAUACUUGUAAUGUGAAUGUACAAAAGAAAAGAUAUUGACGAAGAUAUACAAAAUCAAACCUCAAAUACCUUUUGUAGCUGAGAAUCAGAACAGCUUCAGUGGUGGUUGUCACUGGGUCUGUUUCUUGGUUUCCCUGCCCCUUCUGUGUAAUGUCAAGCACAGUUGAACACAAUGGCUCCUCGUCAGGUAUAAACAUUGAUGACAAGGAACCAACAUAUUUGCUUCUUGUUCCAAACAAAGACUGUGAUGCUGGCAAGGAUAGAAGCCCAGUUUCUGCAAGAUGAUUGAUAUCUUCAACAAAUACUUUGGAUUUGUGUCUAUUCCCUACAUAGUAUGGAUUCUGAGUAUGAUCUCUUCGUUGUUUCAUUCUUAGGAUUUCUAUUAUUCUUGAUAUCAUUUCAGUUAAAAUGUUCCGCUUUUAUAACACUAGAUUUUAGUGAGUGAUUAAGAGACUGUUAUAAAUAAUGUGUAACACUUCUCACAAUGUAGAUCAGUUUUUGAAGCUUGUUGAGACACAAUCAACGUGCAAUAAAUUGCACAUUCCAAACACAGAAUUUUGUAAAGUUGGAAAUUCAUACACUGCAUGCAAGUGUUUCGAACAGUGUAUUUUGUAACAGGUAGAAAGUGGGAUCAAAUAUACAUCCAUGGAUGGACAGAUAAAUUUGUGACUUGCAAAAGCAGUGCCCAUUUAUCUAGCUAGAAAGAGAUGAAGCUAUACACAGUAUAAUAUGAAAAACCAUGGGGGGAGGGUAUGGGGGACUUUUGGGAUAGCAUUGGAAAUGUAAAUGAGGAAAAUACCUAAUAAAAAUAUAAAGAAAUUUCAAAU
rnacentral:lncRNA from 1 species